rnacentral:rRNA from 1 species
CCUACGGGUGGCAGCAGUAGGGAAUCUUUCACAAUGGGCGAAAGCCUGAUGGAGCAACGCCGCGUGCAGGAUGAAGGCCUUCGGGUUGUAAACUGCUUUUAUAAGCGAGAAAUAUGAUGGUAACUUAUGAAUAAGGAUCUGCUAACUACGUGCCAGCAGCCGCGGUCAUACGUAGGAUCCGAGCAUUAUCCGGAGUGACUGGGUGUAAAGAGUUGCGUAGGUGGCAUACUAAGUAGCUAGUGAAAUCUGGUGGCUCAACCAUUCAGACUAUUAGCUAAACUGUUAAGCUCGAGACCGUUAGGGGUAACUGGAAUUUCCAGUGUAGGAGUGAAAUCCGUAGAUAGUAGAAGGAACACCAAUAGCGUAGGCAGGUUGCUGGGACGGUUCUGACACUAAGGCACGAAAGCGUAGGGAGCAAACGGGAUUAGAUACCCCUGUAGUC